rnacentral:rRNA from 1 species
GACGUAGGGCGCGAGCGUUGUCCGGAUUUAUUGGGCGUAAAGAGCGUGUAGGCGGCCGCACAGGUCCGUUGUGAAAACUGGAGGCUUAACCUUCAGACGUCGAUGGAAACCGUGCGGCUAGAGUCCGGAAGAGGAGAAUGGAAUUCCUGGUGUAGCGGUGAAAUGCGCAGAUAUCAGGAAGAACACCCGUGGCUAAGGCGGUUCUCUAGUACGGUACUGACGCUGAGGAGCGAAAGCGUGGGGAGCGAACAGG